AUUGAACGCUGGCGGCAGGCCUAACACAUGCAAGUCGGACGGUAGCACAGAGAGCUUGCUCUUGGGUGACGAGUGGCGGACGGGUGAGUAAUGUCUGGGGAUCUGCCCGAUAGAGGGGGAUAACCACUGGAAACGGUGGCUAAUACCGCAUAACGUCGCAAGACCAACGAGGGGGACCUUCGGGCCUCUCACUAUCGGAUGAACCCAGAUGGGAUUAGCUAGUAGGCGGGGUAAUGACCCACCUAGGCGACGAUCCCUAGCUGGUCUGAGAGGAUGACCAGCCACACUGGAACUGAGACACGGUCCAGACUCCUACGGGAGGCAGCAGUGGGGAAUAUUGCACAAUGGGCGCAAGCCUGAUGCAGCCAUGCCGCGUGUAUGAAGAAGGCCUUCGGGUUGUAAAGUACUUUCAGCGGGGAGGAAGGCGGUGAGGUUAAUAACCUUGCCGAUUGACGUUACCCGCAGAAGAAGCACCGGCUAACUCCGUGCCAGCCGCCGCCGUAA
rnacentral:rRNA from 1 species